rnacentral:rRNA from 1 species
GAUGAACGCUGGCGGCGUGCCUAACACAUGCAAGUUGAGCGAUCUUCUUCGGAAGAGAGCGGCGGACGGGUGAGUAACGCGUGGGUAACCUACCCUAUACACACGGAUAACAUACCGAAAGGUAUGCUAAUACGGGAUAAUAUAUUUCAUACGCACGUUUGAAAUAUCAAAGCUCCGGCGGUAUAGGAUGGACCCGCGUCUGAUUAGCUAGUCGGUGAGGUAACGGCUCACCAAGGCUACGAUCAGUAGCCGACCUGAGAGGGUGAUCGGCCACAUUGGAACUGAGACACGGUCCAAACUCCUACGGGAGGCAGCAGUGGGGAAUAUUGCACAAUGGGCGAAAGCCUGAUGCAGCAACGCCGCGUGAACGAUGAAGGCCUUCGGGUCGUAAAGUUCUGUCCUCAAGGAAGAUAAUGACGGUACUUGAGGAGGAAGCCCCGGCUAACUACGUGCCAGCCGCCGCCGUAAGAC